CCUGCCGCCGCCACCGCCUCAGGGAAGAGGAAGGAGGCCGCGGCUUCGCGUCCCGCCUCUCGCCUGGCUGGCCGUGGGGGGCCUGGACGCAGUGGCCUCCCGAAUCUCCCAGGACCCUAAUAUCGCCCGAGGAUGCUGGGAGGAACGCUGAGCCGACCUCUCCGUUAGGCUGAAGAUUGCACAAACCAUGCUAAUGGCCAGCAUGGAUGGAGGGAGCGUGUGAGAUGUGUGGGGCAGCGUGCUGCAUCUCAGCCAACUCCAGGAGCCAGUUGAUGUGAUGGACUACCUUAAUUGAUUUUUGAAUGUUGAGCCAGCCUUAUGCAUGUGGGAUAAACCCCUGUUGAUCAUGGACAUUUUUAAAUUCUAGGUAUAGAGCAAUAAAAGAAGAAUUCAAGCAAAGGGAUCAGGAAGAGGAUUGCUACUAAGAGGCAGAGAAACCAAUGAAGCCUUUUGCCAUCUCACACUGGAAAGACAAAAAGUCAUAGAGGCUUGAUUUUUAUAAGGAAAGAGAAGUGAGAAACUGACCUCGAUACUUUGUUGGACUUGCCUAAAGACAUUUGCUGAAUUCUCGGGCUGUGCUGGGAUGGAGAUUAGAGGCCAAAUAAAAACCUCUGGAGCUCCCAGGCCUCUACAGUUUGCUGGGUCCCAUUACUUUCUGAGACAGGUGAG
rnacentral:lncRNA from 1 species